rnacentral:tRNA from 1 species
CCACCCGUAGCUCAGUUGGAUAGAGCAACGGACUUCUAAUCCGUAGGUCGCUGGUUCGAAUCCAGUCGGGUGGA